rnacentral:rRNA from 1 species
CCUUCUUUCCCCCGCUUUUUUCGGAUUUAUUGGGUUUAAAGGGCGCGUAGGCGGCCUGAUAAGUAGGGGGUGAAAUCCUGCGGCUUAACCGCAGGGCUGCCUUCUAAACUGUCAGGCUUGAGCACAGUAGAGGCAGGUGGAAUUCCCGGUGUAGCGGUGGAAUGCGUAGAGAUCGGGAAGAACAUCAGUGGCGAAAGCGGCCUGCUGGGCUGUUGCUGACGCUGAGGCGCGACAGCGUGGGGAGCAAACAGGA